AGGAUUGGAUGGGCGCAAGCCUGAUCAGCAAUGCCGCGUGCAGGAAGAAGGCCUUCGGGUUGUAAACUGCUUUUGUCAGGGAAGAAAUCUUCUGGGCUAAUAUCCCGGGAGGAUGACGGUACCUGAAGAAUAAGCACCGGCUAACUACGUGCCAGCAGCCGCGGUAAUACGUAGGGUGCGAGCGUUAAUCGGAAUUACUGGGCGUAAAGCGUGCGCAGGCGGCUUUGCAAGACAGAGGUGAAAUCCCCGGGCUCAACCUGGGAACUGCCUUUGUGACUGCAAGGCUAGAGUACGGCAGAGGGGGAUGGAAUUCCGCGUGUAGCAGUGAAAUGCGUAGAUAUGCGGAGGAACACCGAUGGCGAAGGCAAUCCCCUGGGCCUGUACUGACGCUCAUGCACGAAAGCGUGGGG
rnacentral:rRNA from 1 species